rnacentral:rRNA from 1 species
GGAUUGAACGCUGGCGGAAUGCUUUACACAUGCAAGUCGAACGGCAGCACGGGGGCAACCCUGGUGGCGAGUGGCGAACGGGUGAGUAAUACAUCGGAACGUGCCCAGUCGUGGGGGAUAACUACGCGAAAGCGUAGCUAAUACCGCAUACGAUCUACGGAUGAAAGCGGGGGAUCGCAAGACCUCGCGCGAUUGGAGCGGCCGAUGGCAGAUCAGGUAGUUGGUGGGGUAAAGGCUCACCAAGCCGUCGAUCUGUAGCUGGUCUGAGAGGACGACCAGCCACACUGGGACUGAGACACGGCCCAGACUCCUACGGGAGGCAGCAGUGGGAAUUUUGGACAAUGGGCGCAAGCCUGAUCCAGCCAUUCCGCGUGCAGGAUGAAGGCCCUCGGGUUGUAAACUUGACGUUUUGUUAACGGAACCGUAAAAAGCCCUUACGUUCCUAAUACAGGAGGUCAUGACGUACCGUAAGAAUAAGCACGCUAACUACGUGCCAGCAGCCG